GUUGUCCUCACUUUGUCCUUCUUGUCCGAAUUAUGUUUAAAAGCGUAUGAAACUAAAAGGACAUUUCUACAUAAUGCUAUUUUUAAACGGACAGUAAAUUCCUUUCUCGAUACGGCGUAUGAACUUGGGUGUAAUUUACAUAACCUUACGCAUUAGAUAUAAUGCUUAAAUGAGAUCAAUGAAAACCCUGUUCUAUCAUAAAUAAAGACAAUGUUAAUGAAAAGGGAGGCACAAACAUAAUAAAUA
rnacentral:lncRNA from 1 species